rnacentral:rRNA from 1 species
GUGCCAGCCGCCGCGGUAAUACGUAGGUGGCAAGCGUUGUCCGGAUUUACUGGGCGUAAAGGAUGUGUAGGCGGAUAUUUAAGUGAGAUGUGAAAUCCCCGGGCUUAACUUGGGGGCUGCAUUUCAAACUGGAUGUCUAGAGUGCAGGAGAGGAAAGCAGAAUUCCUAGUGUAGCGGUGAAAUGCGUAUAGAUUAGGAAGAAUACCAGUGGCGAAGGCGGAUUUCUUGACUUGAACGGAUGCUGAGGCAUGAAAGCGU